AUACGUAGGGGGCAAGCGUUAUCCGGAAUCACUGGGUGUAAAGGGUGCGUAGGCGGCAAUGUAAGUCAGAUGUGAAAUCCCGGGGCUCAACCCCGGGCGUGCAUUUGAAACUGCAUAGCUAGAGUGCAGGAGAGGAAAGUGGAAUUCCUAGUGUAGCGGUGAAAUGCGUAGAUAUUAGGAGGAACACCAGUGGCGAAGGCGACUUUCUGGACUGUAACUGACGCUGAUGCACGAAAGCGUGGGUAGCGAACAGGAUUAGAUACCCUGGUAGUCCACGCCGUAAACGAUGAGUGCUAGGUGUCGGGGGGUCAUACCCUCGGUGCCGGAGCAAACGCAUUAAGCACUCCACCUGGGGAGUACGUUCGCAAGAAUGAA
rnacentral:rRNA from 1 species